GCCUGGCUGGCUCAGUUGGUAGAGCAUGUGACUUUUGAUCUCAGGGUCAUGGGCUCAUGAGUUCAAGCCCCAAGUUGAGCA
rnacentral:tRNA from 1 species